UACAGAGGGUGCGAGCGUUAAUCGGAAUUACUGGGCGUAAAGCGUGCGUAGACGGUAAUGUAAGUCAGAUGUGAAAGCCCCGGGCUCAACCUGGGAAUUGCAUUUGAGACUGCAUCGCUAGAAUUGUGGAGAGGUAAGUGGAAUUCCGAGUGUAGAGGUGAAAUUCGUAGAUAUUCGGAAGAACACCAGUGGCGAAGGCGACUUACUGGACACAUAUUGACGCUGAGGUGCGAAAGCGUGGGGAGCAAACAGG
rnacentral:rRNA from 1 species